rnacentral:rRNA from 1 species
AUUGAACGCUGGCGGCAGGCCUAACACAUGCAAGUCGAGCGGAGCGGCGGACGGGUGAGUAAUGCCUAGGACUCUGCCUGGUAGUGAGGGAUAACGUCCGGAAACGGGCGCUGAUACCGAAUACUAUCGGAUUAGCCUAGGUCGGAUUAGCUAGUUAGUGGGGGAAAGGCCUACCAAGGCGACGCGCCGUAACUGGUCUGAGAGGAUGAUCAGUCACACUGGAACUGAGACACGGUCCAGACUCCUACGGGAGGCAGCAGUGGGGAAUAUUGGACAAUGGGCGAAAGCCUGAUCCAGCCAUGCCGCGUGUGUGAAGAAGGUCUUCGGAUUGUAAAGUACUUUAAGUUGGGAGGCGUUACCCGCAGAAUAAGCACCGGCUAACUUCGUGCCAGCAGCCGCGGUAAUUC